rnacentral:misc_RNA from 1 species
CUGAGUUAGGGUCUUUUGGGCCCGACCUCCAACCCUGUGUUUAUUAUACCAUGUUGCUUUGGCAGGCCUGCCCUUCGGGGCUGCCGGGGGCGCUCCUGCCCCUGACCCGUGCCUGCCAGGAGCCUUCCUUAAAUUCUGUGUUCAACUGUGCUGUCUGAGUCCCAGUAACAAAAUAUCAA